AGAGUUUGAUCAUGGCUCAGGACGAACGCUGGCGGCGCGCUUAACACAUGCAAGUCGAGCGAGAACCGAGGCUUCGGCCUCGGGGACAGCGGCGAACGGGUGAGUAACACGUGGACAACCUGCCCUCGGCACCGGGAUAGCCCGGGGAAACCCGGAUUAAUACCGGAUGGCCCUUCCGGCUCUCGAGCCGGUCGGAAAAGGUAGCUUCGGCCUCCGGCCGAGGAGGGGUCCGCGGCGGAUUAGCUUGUUGGUGGGGUAACGGCCUACCAAGGCUCCGAUCCGUAGCUGGUCUGAGAGGACGAUCAGCCACACUGGGACUGAGACACGGCCCAGACUCCUACGGGAGGCAGCAGUGGGGAAUCUUGCGCAAUGGGCGAAAGCCUGACGCAGCGACGCCGCGUGAGGGAAGAAGGCCUUCGGGUUGUAAACCUCUUUCAGCAGGGACGAAGCUACUCGGGUGAACAGCCCAGAGGGUGACGGUACCUGUAGAAGAAGCCCCGGCUAACUACGUGCCAGCAGCCGCGGUAAUACGUAGGGGGCAAGCGUUGUCCGGAUUUACUGGGCGUAAAGAGCGUGUAGGCGGCCAAGCAGGUCUGUUGUGAAAACUGGAGGCUCAACCUCCAGACGUCGACAGAAACCGCUUGGCUAGAGUCCGGAAGAGGAGAGUGGAAUUCCUGGUGUAGCGGUGAAAUGCGCAGAUAUCAGGAAGAACACCAAUGGCGAAGGCAGCUCUCUGGGACGGUACUGACGCUGAGACGCGAAAGCGUGGGGAGCGAACAGGAUUAGAUACCCUGGUAGUCCACGCCGUAAACGAUGGGUGCUAGGUGUGGGAGGUGUCGACUCCUUCCGUGCCGCAGCUAACGCAUUAAGCACCCCGCCUGGGGAGUACGGCCGCAAGGCUAAAACUCAAAGGAAUUGACGGGGCCCCGCACAAGCAGCGGAGCAUGUU
rnacentral:rRNA from 1 species